AUUGAACGCUGGCGGCAGGCCUAACACAUGCAAGUCGAGCGAGCGGCGGACGGGUGAGUAAUGUCUGGGAAACUGCCUGAUGGAGGGGGAUACCUACUGGAAACGGUAGCUAAUACCGCAUACCAUCAGAUGUGCCCAGAUGGGAUUAGCUAGGAGGUGGGGUAACGGCUCACCUAGGCGACGAUCCCUAGCUGGUCUGAGAGGUUGACAAGCCCAACUGGAACUGAGACACGGUCCAGACUCCGACGGGAGUCAGCGGUGGGGAAUAUUGCACAAUGGGCGCAAGCCUGAUGCAGCCAUGACGCGUGGGUGAAGAAGGCUUUCGGGUUGUAAAGCACUUUUAGCGGGGAGGCGUUACCCGCAUAAGAAGCACCGGCUAACGCCGUGCCAGCAGCCGCGGUAAUUC
rnacentral:rRNA from 1 species